GUCCACGCCCUAAACGAUGAUAAUUAAGUGUCGCACUUGUUGCGGUGCUGUAGCUAACGCGUUAAAUUAUCCACCUGAGAAGUACGGUCGCAAGAUUAAAACUCAAAGGAAUAGACGGGGACCCACACAAGCAGUGGAUCAUGUUGUUUAAUUCGACACUAAACGGGGAACCUUACCCAGACUUGACAUCCUAGGAAUCCACUGGAAACAGAGGAGUGCUCGCAAGAGAGCCUAGAGACAGGUGCUGCAUGGUUGUCGU
rnacentral:rRNA from 1 species